GACGAACGCUGGCGGCGUGCUUAACACAUGCAAGUCGAACGGAAAGGCCCUGCUUUUGUGGGGUGCUCGAGUGGCGAACGGGUGAGUAACACGGGAGUAACCUGCCCUUGACUUUGGGAUAACUUCAGGAAACUGGGGCUAAUACCGGAUAGGAGCUCCUGCUGCAUGGUGGGGGUUGGAAAGUUUCGGCGGUUGGGGAUGGGCUCGCGGCUUAUCAGCUUGUUGGUGGGGUAGUGGCUUACCAAGGCUUGGACGGGUAGCCGGCCUGGGAGGGUGACCGGCCACAUUGGGACUGAGAUGCGCAGCAGACUACUAGGGGAGGCAGCAGUGGGGAAUAUUGCACAAGGGGCGGCCGGCUGAUGCAGCAACGCCGCGUGCGGGAUGGCGGCCUUCGGGUUGUAAACCGCUUUCGGCUGUGACGAAGCGUGAGUGAGGGUAAAGAGUAAAGAAGCACCGGCUAACUACG
rnacentral:rRNA from 1 species